UAAGCGGAGGAAAAGAAACCAACAGGGAUUGCCCUAGUAACGGCGAGUGAAGCGGCAACAGCUCAAAUUUGAAAUCUGGCUCUUUUAGAGUCCGAGUUGUAAUUUGCAGAGGGCGCUUUGGCUUUGGCAGCGGUCCAAGUUCCUUGGAACAGGACGUCACAGAGGGUGAGAAUCCCGUACGUGGUCGCUAGCUAUUGCCGUGUAAAGCCCCUUCGACGAGUCGAGUUGUUUGGGAAUGCAGCUCUAAAUGGGAGGUAAAUUUCUUCUAAAGCUAAAUAUUGGCCAGAGACCGAUAGCGCACAAGUAGAGUGAUCGAAAGAUGAAAAGCACUUUGGAAAGAGAGUCAAACAGCACGUGAAAUUGUUGAAAGGGAAGCGCUUGCAGCCAGACUUGCUUGCAGUUGCUCAUCCGGGCUUUUGCCCGGUGCACUCUUCUGCAGGCAGGCCAGCAUCAGUUUGGGCGGUGGGAUAAAGGUCUCUGACACGUUCCUUCCUUCGGGUUGGCCAUAUAGGGGAGACGUCAUACCACCAGCCUGGACUGAGGUCCGCGCAUCUGCUAGGAUGCUGGCGUAAUGGCUGUAAGCGGCCCGUCUUGAAACACGGACCAAGGAGUCUAACAUCUAUGCGAGUGUUUGGGUGUCAAGCCCGAGCGCGUAAUGAAAGUGAACGGAGGUGGGAACCCGCAAGGGUGCACCAUCGACCGAUCCUGAAGUUUACGGAAGGAUUUGAGUAAGAGCAUGGCUGUUGGGACCCGAAAGAUGGUGAACUAUGCUUGAAUAGGGUGAAGCCAGAGGAAACUCUGGUGGAGGCUCGCAGCGGUUCUGACGUGCAAAUCGAUCGUCAAAUUUGGGCAUAGGGGCGAAAGACUAAUCGA
rnacentral:rRNA from 1 species